rnacentral:rRNA from 1 species
UACGUAGGGUGCAAGCGUUGUCCGGAAUUAUUGGGCGUAAAGAGCUCGUAGGCGGUUUGUCGCGUCGAAUGUGAAAACCCGGGGCUCAACCCCGGGCCUGCAUUCGAUACGGGCAGACUAGAGUUCGGUAGGGGAGUCUGGAAUUCCUGGUGUAGCGGUGAAAUGCGCAGAUAUCAGGAGGAACACCGGUGGCGAAGGCGGGACUCUGGGCCGCAACUGACGCUGAGGAGCGAAAGCAUAGGGAGCGAACAGG